GUAAAUGUAAACCCUGCUUAUCUCUAGUGGAUGAGAAGGGACGGACACAGACGCUGAGGAUCUGCCUGGAGUUACCGCGCGUGGACGCGGUGUUUGUGGGCACCGGAGAUCUCUUUGCGGCUAUGCUCCUGGCCUGGACGCACCUUCAUCCUAAUAACUUUAAGCUGGCCUGUGAGAAGACUGUGUCCGCCAUGCAGCAUGUGCUACAGAGGACUAUCAGUAGUGCCCGUGCUCUAGCCGGGCCUGGGAAGAGGCCAUCCUACGCCCAGCUUGAACUCCGGAUGGUGCAGAGCAAAAAGGACAUUGAGAACCCGGAGCUGAUUAUAAUGGGCACUGUGUUAUAAAGGAUGGGGACUAAUGUUGAGGCUCUGCACCUUACCCACAGAGUGACCUUGGGACCCAGUGCAGAGCCCACAGCCGCAUUUACCCUGAGGAACAGAAGCUUCGUGGUCCCUCUCUAGGAUAAUGGGAGCUGUCCUUUCCUUUAGUAGAAACUCACCAGCGACCUGCGAGAAUGAAGGGUCCACAUUGGAGGUCCUGGCUACAUCACCAUGACCUUCUCUUGCACAGCUGUAUGUGGGCAUAAUCUGGGUGGAAUCUAGGCACUGUGAUGCAAGAUAUCACCAUCUAACCAAACAUGUUGAUUUGUGGCUUUGGCUGCACGUGGUAAAUAAAAUUAUUGUCUUAGA